GGCACACCCGGAGAACUGAAACAUCUUAGUACCCGGAGGAAGAGAAAGAAAAUUCGAUUCCCUUAGUAGCGGCGAGCGAAACGGGAAGAGCCCAAACCAACAAGCUUGCUUGUUGGGGUUGUAGGACACUCUAUACGGAGUUACAAAGGACGACAUUAGACGAAUCAUCUGGAAAGAUGAAUCAAAGAAGGUAAUAAUCCUGUAGUCGAAAAUGUUGUCUCUCUUGAGUGGAUCCUGAGUACGACGGAGCACGUGAAAUUCCGUCGGAAUCUGGGAGGACCAUCUCCUAAGGCUAAAUACUCUCUAGUGACCGAUAGUGAACCAGUACCGUGAGGGAAAGGUGAAAAG
rnacentral:rRNA from 1 species